rnacentral:snoRNA from 1 species
UUAUAUGAUGAAACACAACCUUUUUUUAUUUUUCUGGUACCUCUUAUUUUAGGGCUGGUUCUCGUAACCGGCUCAAUGAAUGGAAUGGACUUCUGAAA